GGUUGGUGAGAGGGCUCAGUGGGUAAGAGCACCCGACUGCUCUUCUGAAGGUCCAGAGUUCAAAUCCCAGCAACCA
rnacentral:tRNA from 1 species